rnacentral:rRNA from 1 species
AUACGUAGGGUGCAAGCGUUAUCCGGAAUUAUUGGGCGUAAAGGGCUCGUAGGCGGUUCGUCGCGUCCGGUGUGAAAGUCCAUCGCUUAACGGUGGAUCCGCGCCGGGUACGGGCGGGCUUGAGUGCGGUAGGGGAGACUGGAAUUCCCGGUGUAACGGUGGAAUGUGUAGAUAUCGGGAAGAACACCAAUGGCGAAGGCAGGUCUCUGGGCCGUUACUGACGCUGAGGAGCGAAAGCGUGGGGAGCGAACAGGAUUAGAUACCCUGGUAGUCCACGCCGUAAACGGUGGAUGCUGGAUGUGGGGCCCGUUCCACGGGUUCCGUGUCGGAGCUAACGCGUUAAGCAUCCCGCCUGGGGAGUACGGCCGCAAGGCUAAAACUCAAAGAAAUUGACGGGGGCCCGCACAAGCGGCGGAGCAUGCGGAUUAAUUCGAUGCAACGCGAAGAACCUUACCUGGGCUUGACAUGUUCCCGACGGUCGUAGAGAUACGGCUUCCCUUCGGGGCGGGUUCACAGGUGGUGCAUGGUCGUCGUCAGCUCGUGUCGUGAGAUGUUGGGUUAAGUCCCGCAACGAGCGCAACCCUCGCCCCGUGUUGCCAGCGGAUUAUGCCGGGAACUCACGGGGGACCGCCGGGGUUAACUCGGAGGAAGGUGGAGAUGACGUCAGAUCAUCAUGCCCCUUACGUCCAGGGCUUCACGCAUGCUACAAUGGCCGGUACAACGGGAUGCGACGCGGCGACGCGGAGCGGAUCCCUGAAAACCGGUCUCAGUUCGGAUCGCAGUCUGCAACUCGACUGCGUGAAGGCGGAGUCGCUAGUAAUCGCGAAUCAGCAACGUCGCGGUGAAUGCGUUCCCGGGCCUUGUACACACCGCCCGUCAAGUCAUGAAAGUGGGCAGCACCCGAAGCCGGUGGCCUAACCCCUUGUGGGAUGGAGCCGUCUAAGGUGAGGCUCGUGAUUGGGACU